AAGAUUAAGCCAUGCAUGUCUAAGUCCAAGCUGUGUUCACACGGCGAGACCGCGGACGGCUCAUUAAAUCAGUCGUGGUCCAAAUGGGCCAGUGCAAAUCCUACUUGGAUAACUGUGGUAAUUCCAGAGCUAAUACAUGCAACUGAUAUCCCGAAGGCGGUGUUUGGGCUUGCUUGCCUUGCGCUGCGCUGCUCUGACGGAUGCUUUUAUUAGACCAAGCCGCUGAGGACUUGAGGGUUCGCGCUCUCUUGUCUGACUCGUGUGAUGGUGACUCUGGAUAACCAAAUUCUGACAAGCGCACGUACUUCUCUUCUGAGCGAGACGGCGCUGCCACUUUCGAGUGUCUGCCUUAUCAGCUAUCAACCGUUCGUUAUGCGCGACCGAUGGCUUUGACGGGUAACGGGGAAUCAGGGUUCGAUUCCGGAGAGGCAGCCUGAGAGACGGCUACCACGUCCAAGGACGGCAGCAGGCACGCAAAUUACCCAAUCCCAGCAAAUGGGGGAGGUAGUGACGAAAUCUAACGAUGCGGGCGCCCUUUCUGGGGCCCCGCAAUCGGAAUGGGCACUUUCUAAACAACCUGUUGAGAACCUAC
rnacentral:rRNA from 1 species